rnacentral:rRNA from 1 species
AGGGGGAAAAUUAAUAACUUAAAUUUAAUAAAAGAAAUUUUGAUAUUAAAAAGAAAAAUGGGGGUUUGAGUAUUUUUAAUAGAAAAAAUUAAAAGUUUUAUAGUUAAAUAUUACUGUAAAGGAAUUUAUAAAUAAAUGAAAUAUAAUUAAUGAAAAAGUAAAUUUAAAUUAUUGUAUCUUGUGUAUCAGAGUUUAUUAAAUAAUAAUAAUUUAUUUAAAUAAAUCUCGAAUUUAAAAGAGUUAAUUAAUUAAAAAAGUUAAUGUUGUAUAAUUAUUUUAAAUAAUUAAUUAGAAAUGAAAUGUUAAUCGUUUUUAAAUAUAUCUAGUUUUUUCAGAAAAAAAUUUAAUUUUAAAUUUAAAUAAUUUUAUAAUUAUUUAAUUAAUUAUAAAAAUUUAAAUUUUAAUAUUUUAGGGGAUAAGCUUUAAAUUAAAAAUUUAUAAUUAAAAAUAAUUAAAAUUAAAAUUUUUAAAAUUUAUAUUGUUUAAAAAUUAUAGUUUAUUAUAAAAAAUUUUAUUAAAAAUAAAAUUUAAAAUAAAAAAAUUUAAAUUUUUAUGAAAAAAUAAUUUAUAAUUUAAUAAAAUUAGAAAUAAUGAUAAAAUUAGUAUAAUAUAAUAAAUUAAAAAAAAAAUUAUAGAUAAUUAAGUUAAAGGAAUUCGGCAAAAAUUUAUAUUCACUUGUUUAUCAAAAACAUGUCUUUUUGAUAAUAAUUUAAAGUCUAAUCUGCCCACUGAUAUUAUAUUAAAGGGCUGCAGUAUAUUGACUGUACAAAGGUAGCAUAAUCAUUAGUCUUUUAAUUGAAGACUUGUAUGAAAGAUUUGAUGAAAUAUAAACUGUCUCUAAUUUAUGAUUAGAAAUUAAUUUUUUAGUUAAAAAGCUAAAAUAAAAUUAAAAGACGAGAAGACCCUAUAGAGUUUUAUAUUUUAUUUAAUUAAUAUUAAAUAUAUAAUUAAAUAUAUUAAUUAAAUAAAAUAUUGUGUUGGGGUGAUAGAAAAAUUUAAUAAACUUUUUUUAAAAUUAAACAUAAAUAAGUGGUUAAUUGAUCCAUUAAUAAUGAUUAAAAGAAAAAAUUACCUUAGGGAUAACAGCGUAAUAUUUUUUUUUAGUACGUAUAAAAAAAAAAGUUUGCGACCUCGAUGUUGGAUUAAGAUAAAAUUUAAAUGCAAAAGUUUAAAAUUUUGAUCUGUUCGAUCAUUAAAAUCUUACAUGAUCUGAGUUCAAACCGGUGUAAGCCAGGUUGGUUUCUAUCUUUAAUAAAAAAAAAUAUUUUAGUACGAAAGGAUCAAAUAUUUAAAAUAAUUUUAUAACAAUGAAUAUUAAUAAUAUAGUUUA